rfam:Schistosoma mansoni strain Puerto Rico chromosome 2, complete genome
AUCCAGCCGAUGAGUCCCGAAUAGGACAAAACGUGCGUCCUGUAU